rnacentral:tRNA from 1 species
GAGGGUAGAGCUCAGUGGCAGAGCGCAUGCCUAGCAUGCACGAGGUCCUGGGUUCAAUCCCCAGUACCUCCA